GAGUGAACGCUGGCGGUAGGCCUAACACAUGCAAGUCGAACGGCAGCACAGUAAGAGCUUGCUCUUACGGGUGGCGAGUGGCGGACGGGUGAGGAAUACAUCGGAAUCUACUUUUUCGUGGGGGAUAACGUAGGGAAACUUACGCUAAUACCGCAUACGACCUACGGGUGAAAGCAGGGGAUCUUCGGACCUUGCGCGAUUGAAUGAGCCGAUGUCGGAUUAGCUAGUUGGCGGGGUAAAGGCCCACCAAGGCGACGAUCCGUAGCUGGUCUGAGAGGAUGAUCAGCCACACUGGAACUGAGACACGGUCCAGACUCCUACGGGAGGCAGCAGUGGGGAAUAUUGGACAAUGGGCGCAAGCCUGAGCCAGCCAUACCGCGUGGGUGAAGAAGGCCUUCGGGUUGUAAAGCCCUUUUGUUGGGAAAGAAAAGCAGCAGGUUAAUACCCCGCUGUUCUGACGGUACCCAAAGAAUAAGCACCGGCUAACUUCGUGC
rnacentral:rRNA from 1 species